AUUGAUAUACUUUAUUCAUUUUCAGGUGGCUCAUUAAAAUACUGAAAUUUACUAAUUACUCCUCGCAUAACAGUGCCCAAUAAGUAUCCUACAUGAUUGCCAAUUUGAGUAGGAUAUUUGGAACUCAAUGUUUAUGGUUUUUGGCAGUUCUGACAAACAGAAAAAAUCUUUGUGAGAGUUAAAAGUGACGAGGCCUCAAUGAGAGGCCUGAAGAGUUGUUCUGUGAGUAGAACAUGGACAUGACAAGGACCCGACUAGCUGGACAAAUGUAAUGAUUACCUGUUACAUAUGCCAGGCCUGACAGGGUAUCAGUUGAGAAGGGCCAAAAGAGUGGGUGAAGGGGCUUGGAGAACCAAGAAGAGGUAUCGUGAAGAAGGAAACAUCACGUGUGGCAGGUUGUACCUUGCCAGCUGUGCAAUGGCCGCUGGCACUGGAGUGACCCGUCUCUCGCGUAUUAUGAUGUGGUUACUUACCCUGGCUGGUGUCCCUGUCAUCUCACCACUAAUAGCAGAGGGAGUAAUAAGACCUCCUGAAGAUGUUCCCGUACAGACUACCCACUGUCAACGUUACAACCAUACCAUGUGUGACAAGGAUGGUCUACAAGGUUGCUCAGGGAUAGAAACCUGCCCAAAAUGGCAAGAGCCUGAUAAGAAAAAUCAUUGUUUUGUCCUGUGGACAAACAGCUCAGAGGGAAAGGUGGAGAUUACAUUCAAAGGCUGUUGGUCCAAUGAUCAGAGCUGCAGGGAUGAGUGUGUCAGCAAACAGGCUGUUAGCAGCUUAAAAGGAGAAAAGAACCACAUAUUUUGCUGUUGUAAUGGAAAUAGCUGUAAUCAGAACUUUUCUUGGGAACCUGCAGAAGAUGUCUCCACCACAAAACCUCCCUCAGUUGAAGUGGAUAACAAAGAUGCAAUGGUUCAGACGGUGCUGUGGACGCUGGGUACACUCAUCACUCUUGUUGUGAUUGUUGCGUUGCUUUUCUACCUCUACCGGCGACGGAAGAUGGCCAACUUUUUGGAAAUUCCAACUGUUGAGUCAACUGCACUAGCUCCCCCUUCCCCACCCAUGGGUCUGAGACCUAUACAGCUACGGGAGAUCAAAGCACGUGGGAGAUUUGGCGCAGUGUGGAAGGCACAACUUCAUUCAGAUAUUGUUGCUGUGAAAAUCUUUCCAGUACAGGAUAAACAAUCAUGGCAGGUUGAAAAAGAAGUGUAUUCACUCCCCCAAAUGUCCCAUGAAAACAUUUUGCAAUUCAUUGGAGCCGAAAAGCGUGGGGACAACCUUCAGGCAGAGUAUUGGUUGAUCACAGCAUACCAUGAUCGAGGAUCUCUGUGUGACUAUCUCAAGGCAAAUCUGGUAACCUGGGCUGAACUCUGCAAAAUUGGAGAGUCUAUGGCAAGGGGACUCAUGUAUGUGCAUGAAGAGCAGCAAGCCACCAAGUGUGAAGCACUGAAACCUUCUAUUGCCCAUCGAGACUUCAAGAGUAAAAAUGUACUUCUGAAGAGUGACCUCUCAGCUUGCAUUGCUGAUUUUGGCCUGGCGCUGGUCUUCCACCCUGGACAGCCAACUGGGGAUACUCAUGGACAAGUUGGAACAAGAAGGUACAUGGCGCCAGAGGUUCUGGAAGGAGCAAUUAACUUCCAGCGUGAUGCCUUUCUACGUAUUGACAUGUAUGCUUGCGGUUUAGUACUUUGGGAGAUUCUCUCAAGGUGCUCAAACCAAGAGGGUCCUGUGCCAGAGUACCAUCUGCCAUUUGAAGAGGAGGUUGGGCAGCACCCCACCUUAGAUGACAUGCAGGAGUGCGUUGUUGCUCAGAAGGCACGUCCUGCAAUUCGUGACUGUUGGCGAAAGAAUCCGGGCAUGAUGGCCUUAGUUGAUACCAUGGAGGAGUGCUGGGAUCAUGAUGCAGAGGCUCGUCUCUCGGCUUCUUGUGUUGUAGAGAGACUUGCUGUGUAUACCCGAAACCAGCACUUUUCCCCUACCUCAAAUCCACACAAGGAGUCAAGCAUAUAAGGCCAUUAUGUGGUGGCCACGUACCUGGACAAGUACCUGUGCUGUAACCGCCUAUUCUGGGUCCUGGUGCGGGACAGACCCCAGCCACCGCGUCCCACAGGCACCAGCUGUGUUGGGGGCCGAGUGUAUCAUGUAACUGCCUCAGUCCCCCCUCUCCCCCUUUUCCCAACUUUUAAUCUGUACACCACAGCCAUUAACUACAGUUGCAGCUUCUCUUGACUAAGCAAAGUCUAGCCAGUCUAAGAAGAUUGGGCUUUGGGGACUUAUCCUAGAGAAUGUACUCAUCCUUUGUGAGUGCAUCAAGCUUGGUACUGGCGGGUGAGAGGCUGUGUGAGUCAGAUAUGUCUUCCUGUAACUGAUUAGUGCAAUAGUUUGAUAUCCUUGGCGGUGCUUCAGAUGCAUUUCCCCCCUUCCCGUAUGAAAGAACUGACAUAAAAUAAAAAUGAAUUUUUCAAAGUCCAGUGUGUCCAACCAUCUCUUUUAUUUGGCUGGUUUGGUGUUGGGUGAGGGGGGAGACUGAGUGUGGUGCCAAAGGGGUCAACAGGGAAGUGCUCGGACUGCUAAGAAAGGCCACCUGAAAGGAAGGCGAGGCACUGGAUAUUCAUGGCUGAGCACUUAGGGGCCUUGGCCAAUGACCUUGGUGGCCACAGUUGUGACAGGUUCCACCAGCAGCAGGGCACUUUGCGGGAUCAUGUUGGCAGUGAUAAGACUGGCAGAAAGUGCAUGGGGCCUGAGUCUGCUGUAAUGAGGCCAUUUUCUUUCGUUGUUAAUUCUGCUGGUAUGCAGAGAAGAUAAUUAGCUAACUCGGUGAUGCAUAAGUGGUGGAAGCUGUCGCCCAGGCAGCCUCUUAUUAUCUGUAGCACAUUAUGAAUGCAUGGAAAGAAGCGUCUGCAUCCA
rnacentral:misc_RNA from 1 species